AGUGAACGCUGGCGGUAGGCCUAACACAUGCAAGUCGAACGGCAGCACAGUAAGAGCUUGCUCUUACGGGUGGCGAGUGGCGGACGGGUGAGGAAUACAUCGGAAUCUACUUUUUCGUGGGGGAUAACGUAGGGAAACUUACGCUAAUACCGCAUACGACCUACGGGUGAAAGCAGGGGAUCUUCGGACCUUGCGCGAUUGAAUGAGCCGAUGUCGGAUUAGCUAGUUGGCGGGGUAAAGGCCCACCAAGGCGACGAUCCGUAGCUGGUCUGAGAGGAUGAUCCGCCACACUGGAACUGAGACACGGUCCCGACUCCUACGGGAGGCAGCAGUGGGGAAUAUUGGACAAUGGGCGCAAGCCUGAUCCAGCCAUAACGCGUGGGUGAAGAAGGCCUUCGGGUUGUAAAGCCCUUUUGUUGGGAAAGAAAAGCAGCAGGUUAAUACCCCGCUGUUCUGACGGUACCCAAGGAAUAAGCACCGGCUAACUUCGUG
rnacentral:rRNA from 1 species